UGGGGAAUCUUAGACAAUGGGCGCAAGCCUGAUCUAGCCAUGCCGCGUGUGUGAUGAAGGUCUUAGGAUCGUAAAGCACUUUCGCCAGGGAUGAUAAUGACAGUACCUGGUAAAGAAACCCCGGCUAACUCCGUGCCAGCAGCCGCGGUAAUACGGAGGGGGUUAGCGUUGUUCGGAAUUACUGGGCGUAAAGCGUACGUAGGCGGAUCAGAAAGUAUAGGGUGAAAUCCCAGGGCUCAACCCUGGAACUGCCUUGUAAACUCCUGGUCUUGAGUUCGAGAGAGGUGAGUGGAAUUCCAAGUGUAGAGGUGAAAUUCGUAGAUAUUUGGAGGAACACCAGUGGCGAAGGC
rnacentral:rRNA from 1 species